CAAAGAAAUUACUUUCUCCGACAGGACAGGGACGAGUUGCAGACUGCUGUACUCAUAUACUAUAUCGGAUAACAAGAACAACACAAAAGUUACCAUCGCAACAAACAUGUACCACUCUUACAUUCUUAGUGAUUCAUUACACAACUGAAUCAACCGAAUCACACCGUCAAAAUGCAGGCACAUCACGCGCACGCACACACAGGUUUCACUCACUGACACACGAACACGAGCCCACACUCACGCACAGCGAACUGUCCAUUAUUCUAAACCCCGAUCCAACACAGCACACAAGACGCAGCAGAUGGAUCACACCCGGGCAUGCCUGGGCGCCAUCUAGGGACAGCAAACCAGUACGUAAGGAUAGCCCCCUCCUCCUCUAAACACAUAGGAUUUAGAUGGAGAGAGGGAGACCUGGAAGAAAGGCUUAGCCUUCCCUUGCCGAUAAGACUUGCCUUCUUUCUUCUGCACUGCCGAAGCAUCCCUGCUCACAUGCCGACGACCCCCGGCGUGGCUCCCGGAGGCGGCCAGCAUGGCAAGCAUGCUUCUUCACUGCUUGCGCUGACACAGUCACACCGCUGACAGUGUGACCAGUGCUUCACUCGCAACACCUUCUUCUUCGCCUCUCUUCUUCCUCUUCCUCGACAUGGUAUGCCAGGACCUCUGCUUGAUCAGUUAGAUGUGUUAGAACACUGAUCUGGCCAUGGCCAACCUCCCUUCUUUUUAUAGGCAUGUUCACGGCAACUGAAUCACUGAAGCCUCUGCGAGCGAUUGGCCUGUGGGGUUUGUUAAUUGGCAGCCGCGGAUUCUUUGGCUGAGUUGUGGAUUCUCGCAUAUCUGCACCCACUUAUCUUUGAGACAUUAUAUCUAUGAACAUUCAGAAAAAAAGUUUAACUGGAAUGUUGUUAAAAGAAGAUGAUCCAUGGAGUUGCGGCCCCAGAAGAUCCGGACAUUCUUGCCCCUACCGAAGAAGGGUGGAAGGAGACGACUCUCUGUGUGAGUCUCAACAUGAUUCACCACAAGUGCAGGACAGCAACGCAAAGCAAAGCUUAAAAGAGUUGCACGCUUUUGGGAAAGCGCCAUGCAUUAGCUCGCACGUCCCUGCAGGAGCCCCAUCCUCGAAAAGGAAACAGCAGAUCAAGCAGGAUUCUGAUUGUUUAUAGAUGAUCCGGCCCCUCCAAAUGGGUUAUCCAUCACCCACCACCAUCCAAUGCGGAAUGCGGUGCGUGCUGAAAUAGCGGGAAUGUCGUCGUCCAGACAUCAGAGAGAUUCAUAUCCUAUCCUCACUGUCCAAGUUUACACCGAACUCAUCUGAAUCGAAAGGCGAAGCUUUCCACUGGGUGGGGUGACUGAUGUGCUUGUCCUAAGUGAUGGCCUUAUCACCUUCUAAUUGCCAUCAACUUGCAAGAAAUGGACAUCAUUAUUACCACUUUCUCAUCCUCAUGCCUGCCUUUUCCUCCAGGGGAUAUGGUAAUUUAUGUAGCUAAAGGACAGGCCAUGGCCUGGAGAUAAGAGCUAAUGAGUGUGACCCUGGAAGUGCCUUGUUGGUUAUCAUCAAUCUCUAGCUCUCUACUUUAUUUUCACAAAAGAUGAGCAAACUGAUAGUGUCUACUUCUUUCACAGCCAGCUUACUCAUGCUACAGAAAGUCAUGAAGCCCUGCUCCCUUCACCCUUUUCAUCGCAUAAAGCACUCCUCAUGAGGUUGAGAAUUUCAUUGGCAUGCAGACAAACGUGAUUGCAGCUCUUCCUUGUCUUUAAUGAACACCGCAGCCUCUUCUUUGAGGUGGUUCACCUCUGUGCAUUUUUGGACCAAGGAUCCUUGCAUUGACUCCUUCUGCUCACUCAGCUCCUCGAUCAUCUUCUUCUGGUCUGCGUGCGAAUGGACAUAUAUUAGUACUAGACUAAUGAAAAAAUUCAAAUUAAAAGACCAAAGCAAAUUUUACUACCUGUAAUCUGAUCUUUCAGCUUUGUAUUUUCAUCUAUUGUUUCUAAUUCCUCCUGCUCGGCUUUCCUUAUGCCUGUUAAGAGCCUUUUGUUUUCUUCGAGGCAUAGCAGGAAAAAUAUAGGAAAAGGAGAUAAUGAGUUGUGGUAAUCCAACGUGUAGUGUGCAUUGUAAAAUUGUGUACUUACCUUUCACUUGUU